GGUCAAGUUAUUAAGGGUGCAGGGCGGAUGCCUUGGCACUAGGAGCCGAUGAAGGACGUGAUAAGCUGCGAUAAGCUUCGGGGAGUUGCACGUAAACUUUGAUCCGAAGAUUUCCGAAUGAGGAAACUCACUUAGAGUAAUGUCUAAGUAUCAUUAAGUGAAUACAUAGCUUAAUGAGGGGAACUCAGGGAACUGAAACAUCUAAGUACCUGAAGGAAGAGAAAGAAAUUCGAUUCCGUAAGUAGCGGCGAGCGAACGCGGAUUAGCCCAAACCAAUAAAGUUUUCUUUAUUGGGGUUGCGGACAUAUCAUAACGAAGAGGUAUCGUAAUUGAAGAGGUUUGGAAAGACCCACCACAGAAGGUAAUAGUCCUGUAUGUUAAACGAGAAGACUUUAGAUAUGAUCCAGAGUACCACGGGACACGUGAAACCCUGUGGGAAGCAGGAGGGACCACCCUCCAAGGCUAAAUACUACCUAGUGACCGAUAGCGUAUAGUACCGUGAGGGAAAGGUGAAAAGAACCCCGGGAGGGGAGUGAAAUAGAACCUGAAACCCUGCACUUACAAGCUGUGGAAGCACAUUUCUUGUGUGACCGCGUACUUUUUGUAGAACGGGCCAACGAGUUACGUUAAGUAGCAAGGUUAAGCACUUAAGGUGCGGAGCCGUAGCGAAAGCGAGUUUUAACUGAGCGUUCAGUUACUUGACGUAGACCCGAAACCGGGCGACCUACCCAUGAGCAGGAUGAAGCGAAAGUAAAAUUUCGUGGAGGUCCGAACCCACGAGCGUUGAAAAGCUCGGGGAUGACUUGUGGGUAGCGGUGAAAUUCCAAUCGAGCCCGGAGAUAGCUGGUUCUCCCCGAAAUAGCUUUAGGGCUAGCCUCAAGGUGAGAGAUACGGAGGUAGAGCACUGAAUGUCCUAGGGGGUAUUGCACCUACCGAAGACUAUCAAACUCCGAAUGCCGUCAUCUUAUACUUGGGAGUCAGACUGUGGGUGAUAAGAUUCAUAGUCGAAAGGGCAACAGCCCAGAUCGUCAGCUAAGGUCCCUAAAUGUAAGUUAAGUGGUAAAGGAUGUGGGAUUGCACAGACAACCAGGAUGUUGGCUUAGAAGCAGCCACUCAUUCAAAGAGUGCGUAAUAGCUCACUGGUCGAGUGAUCCUGCGCCGAAGAUUUCCGGGGCUAAAACUUACUACCGAAGCUACGGCAUCAGUAAUGAUGGGUAGGGGAGCUUCCCAUACGGGUUGAAGCAUGACCGUAAGGACAUGUGGACAGUAUGGGAGUGAGAAUGUUGGCAUGAGUAGCGAGAUGUGGGUGAGAAUCCCACAGGCCGUAAACCCAAGGUUUCCAGGGGAAGGUUCGUCCGCCCUGGGUUAGUCGGGACCUAAGCUGAGGCCGAAAGGCGUAGGUGAUGGACAACAGGUUGAUAUUCCUGUACUACCGAUAACCGUUUGAGAGAAGGGAUGACACAGUAGGAUAAGCUAAGCACACUGUUGGUUAUGUGUGCCCAAGCAUUGAGGCAGUCAAAGUAGG
rnacentral:rRNA from 1 species